rnacentral:rRNA from 1 species
GAACGAGAAAGUGGAGCAAUCCAUGAGUACAGUGGCGUACGGGUGAGUAACACGUGACUAACCUACCCUCGAGUGGGGAAUAACCUCGGGAAACCGGGGCUAAUACCGCAUAACAUCUACGGAUCAAAUGCGUAAGCAGCUUGAGGAGGGGGUCGCGGCUGAUUAGCUAGUUGGCGGGGUAAUGGCCCACCAAGGCAGUGAUCAGUAGCCGGCCUGAGAGGGCGCACGGCCACACUGGAACUGAAACACGGUCCAGACUCCUACGGGAGGCAGCAGUGGGGAAUUUUGCGCAAUGGGGGAAACCCUGACGCAGCAACGCCGCGUGGAGGAUGAAGCCCUUUGGGGCGUAAACUCCUUUCGACUCGGACGAUAAUGACGGUACGAGUGGAAGAAGCACCGGCUAACUCUGUG